CAGGUGGCGCAAAGGGAUAUGUGACGAAUUUUUAAUAUUAAAGUCAUUAAUGUAUUUACAUGGCGAAAGGAAAAGGGCAGCGUCAUGCUGGGAAAGGAGAUCACUUUCGACAAUAGCGUUUUUCGGGUGAAUUUGAGUCGAAAACGGCGAGAAUCAUCCGAUGUCAAGAUCCGAAGCGCAGCCAGAGGAGGAAAAAUAAUUGAUUAAUAAAGCAGACGGACAGUGAUUUUACGCUGAGUGCGUCCUAUAGGCUGGAGUCGCUGAUUCGGCGUUCUGGCGAGCGAUUUUUUUCCCCCACCGCUCGAGUUUCUGAAUCAUUUUCUUGAAGAUGGAGUUUGGAGAAAGGAAGAGGAGAAGAAAGUCGCAGAGCUUCAAACUGGUCACGGAUGAAGGUUCGGACUCUUCAUAUGGGACAAAUUCUAGCUGCAGAGAUGUCAAUGGUCAAAGUAAGGACUCUGCUGUGCCUCAAGUUUGGAUGGGUGACGAGAGCAUGGAAAUCAAGAAGCAAAUCACUGGAAUGAUGAGGCUCCUGAGUGAUAAGACUGGCAGCGUCUAUCAGCGUCUGGGGGCAGAGCAGAGCAGCUCAACAAAAGAACACCAGGAGGGGCUAAUGAACUGUUUGCACACGCCUCCAGUUUUAUCUCUUGAGUCAGAAGACCCCCAUUUCCAAAGCUGGAGUUCCAGAGACCCAGAGCCUCCACCCUCGUCUGCAUCAACAUCAGUCUCUAAUGGUCCAGGCUGUGGCCAGUACAGUACACGCUCCAGAGUGCUCAGGACUGUCAACAGUACAAAGGAUUCAGCACAAAACAGUGAAACAAAAGCAGAUGGGCUCCAUCCCACUGUGUCAGAAAUCCCCUGCUGCAUGUGUAACUGUAAGGGAACCUUGCAGGCAAUAUUGCAUGAGCUGCGUGCAAUGAGGAGGCUGAUGCAGACCCAGAAAGGAACUUUUGAAAGACGGGAACAUGUUAAGUCAUUAUGCCAGCCUCACAUCGCUGUGGGUUCUGCACCAUGCCGCAUGUCCCAAAAGAGGAGACCCAUUUAUAAGGUGGCUCCACUGAGUGUCUGCGGCACUAGAAGAACUGGGCUAUCUUCCCUGGGGGCUUCACCCCUGAAGGCUAAACCCACUGAAGCUGCAAAGAAAGAGGAACAUGAGAAACUAGACUCGUCUAAGAUCUCCUGUGAUGUCUCUGAGCUGCCACCUCAGAAGGGUCCAGCGGUAGACUCUGGCACACACAGUCCUCUUCUGAAUCAGCUAAGAGGACAUCAGGCGUUAGAGUCGGAUGUUCGUCUCGCGGAGGAUUAUGAUGUGUUCAUCUCAAAGGCCCAGCUGGACUCAAUUUUAGUCAACUAUACACGUUCCGGCAGCCUGCUUUUUCGGAAACUGGUGUGUGCCUUCUUUGACGAUGCUACUUUGGCUAACUCGCUGCCAAAUGGUAAAAGGAAGCGAGGGCUGAACGAUAACCGUAAGGGCUUGGAUCAGAACAUCGUGGGUGCUAUUAAAGUGUUUACAGAGAAAUACUGCGCUGAACACAGAAUAGAGAAGCUGCCCGGACCACGAGACUGGGUGCAGAUCCUUCAAGAUCAGAUCAAACUUGCCAGAAGAAGACUGAAACGAGGUUUUCUGCUUAAAUGCUGCAGAUGCUGAGGAAAGCGCAAAUGGACCAUCCAACAGUACUAACCUCGCAUGAAUCUGUUCACAUGACUGCAUGGCUUUCACACACACAAUCACAGCAGGCUUUGAUUUUAAGCGGUUUGAACGUGAGGAACAGAAAUUGCUGAACGUGACUGAUUGAUUUCAUCAGCUGCCACAAUUGCCUUGCAGCAGAUUGGUUAUGCUAUUAUUUCUCUGACUUUGUUGUAUUUCCUUUGCAUCUGUGAUCGACAAUUUGAACUGCACACCAAAAGGGAACAGAAAGUCCAAAUGAAUUACCUGCUUCUAACA